UACGUAGGUGGCAAGCGUUGUCCGGAAUUAUUGGGCGUAAAGCGCGCGCAGGUGGUUCUUAAGUCUGAUGUGAAAGCCCACGGCUCAACCGUGGAGGGUCAUUGGAAACUGGGGAACUUGAGUGCAGAAGAGGAAAGUGGAAUUCCAAGUGUAGCGGUGAAAUGCGUAGAGAUUGGAGGAAUCACCGGUGGCGAAGGCGGCCUGCUGGGCUAUGGCUGACACUGAGGCGCGACAGCGUGGGAGCAACAGG
rnacentral:rRNA from 1 species